UGGAAACCUGAUCCUUCCGCUUUCAGUACUAAUGCUUUUGCACUUCAGUGGGGUGAUAUGAAUCUCUAUGCUUUUCCACCUUUCAGGAUCAUAGGCAAGAUGCUGAAGAAAUUACGGGAGGACAAGGCAACACUUCUAACGGUCUUACCUCUUUGGCCAACCCAGGUAUGGUUUCCAUCGGCGCUUCACUUGCUGGCAGCCACGCCAUUCAUUCUUCCACCCUGUUCCCUAAUACUUCCACAGGACCCGUCCCGUGUACACUCACGGGCACAGAAAUUGGCGGCCAUGCUGUUAUCGGGCGAUCCUUUGAAGACCAGGGCCUUUCGCCAGAGGUUGCCAGCUUCCUCCUUAAAUCUUGGAGAGAAGGUCUGCGUCUUCCAGCAAAGCAGCUCUGACACUCCCGCUUUCUACCAUCCUGUCUACUAUAGGAUGGUCUAGCGAAUCAACCUUCGCCAAGUUCUACUGUAGGCCCCUUAAGAAGCAGGGCCUUUUUGCACGGGCUAUCUUACCCUGAUGGGUCAUUUUUCUACUGUUCGGGUUUAUUGUACACCUUUAUGGGAUUUGUUUAAGGAAUUGUUCCUUGUGAUAAAUUAUGCUGAUGUGGCACAAUGUGGGCAUUUUUGUUAUCUGUUUUGUACUAUAUAUACUUGGAUCUGGAA